ensembl:lncRNA
GGGAGGGGGAACUGUGAGGCGUCCGCCAUCUUGUCUCCCUCUCCUUACCUGCGUCCUCGGGGGCGUGCGCACCACCCCCCCUCCCGCCGAGGAGGGGGGAGGGCCCCCUCUUGGCCGCCGCCUUCGCGGCCUUUAAAUUCCCCUGGGGCCCGCGGCUACUACCACCGCCUUGCUUCCACUGCUUCCUCUCGCGGCACAGUGAUGCGGGCGGGCGGUGGGAAAAGUGGAAGACGCUACUCGCAGCGAACCGCCGCCGCCGCUUCCGAGGCCUCACCAAAAUGGCCGCCGCCGUCUCGGCCGCCACCACCAACACCACCGCCACCACCACAGCUCACUAUCGCUACCGCCGGCGCGGCCCGUCCUCUCGCGAGAAACAGUAACUGGAGGUUGGGGGAGCGAGGAAGCUCGCGUGCUAGCGUAGGGCGCUGCCCGAAGCGCAAGGCCGGCUGGGAGAUGUAGUCCGCGCGGAGAAAGCGCUUGCCCGCGACGAAGCGUUUUUAUCCACUACGGAACCUGCUGCUGGAGCUGCAUUGCGGCUGCCAACUCGGAUGAGUCCGCCUCACUUUAAUAGAUCACCCGGAGUGCAAAGCAAUUUCUCAGAUAAGGUCACAUCCAUGGGUGAAUACAGAUGUAAACCUUCACUAAAAUGUCCGUGUAAAAAUUGUAUACUUGCAACUAAUGCACCGCAACUACUGAGCCAGUGCUCCAGAGCCCAUGAACCACAGCUACUGAAGCCCAAAGUAACAAGAGAAGCCACACAAUGAGAAGCCUGAGCACCGCCACUAGAGAGUAGCCCCCUCGCUGAAACUGGAGAGAGCUCUCACGCAGCAACGAAGACCCAGCACAGCCAAAACUAAAUACAUCUUGAAAAAUAUAUCUAAAAAAAAAAAAUUGUAGGACUUCCUUGGUGGUUCAGUGAUAAAGAAUCCACCUGCCAGCGCAGGAGACAUGGGGUCAAUCGCUGAUCCAGGAAGAUCCCACAUACGGUGGCACAACAAAGCCCAUGGGCCACAAGUACUGAGCCUGUGCUCUAGAUCCUGGGAGCCACCAUUCCUGAACCCACGUGCCUGAGAGCCACGGCACUGAGAAGCCUGUACACCACAACUACAGAGUAUCCCCCACUCACCACAACUAGAGAAAGGCCUGCACAGCAACGAAGACCCAGCACAGCCAAAAAGAGAUAAUUUUUAAAAUUGUACAUUGUGUAUAUCUCACAACGUGUAUUUUUUUACUUUCUUUUUCAAUAAAGUAACCCUAAAGGAUA